UAUUCAAUCCAAGUUUAAUACGAGAUCAAUCUCAUCAUAUCUGUUUUUAUGACAAAUUAACAUCAACGGACAUAUGCAUUGAUUAAGGUGGGUCAUUUUCAGUUUACGGCUGCGUCACAUACUUAAUAAAUUGAUUGGAGAGAAAUGUCAAAAAUGCAUGUGCCAGAUAGAAGACGUCAAACGGAGAAAAGUGUAUGCAAGCGAAAUCAUUCAAUUGCACAUUUAUUGUCCAUCGGAGAAAUCCAGAACCAAAUCAAUCAUUGGUGAUAUUUUCAAAAACGCAAUUUAGUUUUGUCACAAUUUUCGAAACAUCGACGAUAUUUCAAUGAAUCGAACAGAUCCGGAAAAUUUGCGUUGGCACGCAUAUUACAUUUGCAGGACCCAAUUUAAAGAACUAUUUUGUUGCAAAUAUCAAUACGUCAACCAAGCUCCAAAUACACCGAAGAAUUGUCCAAAAUGUAAAACAGUAAAUUUUCCAGAGAAUCAGCUAUGUUUCCAUAAAGAUGGACCAGUUCUAAAUCUAAUCAAUAAUGUCACACUUCCUUUAUCAUAAAUCGAACAUUCAAUAUCAUAAUCAACAUUGUUUUAUCACAAAAUAACAUUGAAUAAAUAAGACAACGGAUCUUUUGGAAAAAUACCAGAUAAA